rnacentral:rRNA from 1 species
UACGUAGGGUGCGCGCGUUAAUCGGACUUACUGGGCGUAAAGCGUGCGCAGGCGGUGAGUUAAGUCUGAUGUGAAAGCCCCGGGCUCAACCUGGGAAUGGCAUUGGAAACUGGCUCGCUGGAGUAUGGCAGAGGGGGGUGGAAUUCCGCGUGUAGCAGUGAAAUGCGUAGAGAUGCGGAGGAACAUCGAUGGCGAAGGCAGCCCCCUGGGGCAAUACUGACGCUCAGGCGCGAAAGCGUGGGGAGCAAACAGG